rnacentral:lncRNA from 1 species
ACAGCCUUAACGCUUACUUGCAAGUAAAGGCCGUCGUUCAACCUGUGAAGAACCCAGCAUGGCUCUAGUUUCCUGAAGUUCCCCCUCCCUUUUAAUCUGUGUUUAUGAAUAAGGACAGCGUGCAAAUAUCAGCUUGUAAUUAUGGAGCAAAUGGAUAAUUUACUUUAAAAGAACUUACUUUCUUUUGUGCUGUAAGCACAAUGAUGCAUGUCUGUUGAUCAAGGCAGCUUUCACUGAAAUUUGAAUGGUAUGGAGUGUUAUUGUAUACUUUUAUCCUAGAUCCAAGACUGAAAGAUCGAACUGCCAUGAAGGAUUAGCCGGCUUGCCAAACCUACGGUUUGUUCUUUUUAAGGUCUGGGUUCAAGCUUCCAUGGGCACUUCUCUCCGUUUUCAGCCAAGCUGGGUACAGAGUUCAUACAUUUAGGCUACCUUGAUUAUCGACGUGAUCAAUUCAAGCUUAUCCAAUUUAAAUGCCAAUAAUAUUUUUUAGGUCUUGGAAAAAUUGUCAGCAAUAAAAUCCAGAUGAGAUCGUUGAGUGGUCGAAAUAACAUGAAACGUGUUGGCAAGCCAAGGAAAUGACGGUUUAGCGUUCCUGACUCGUUAAGAUCAAUUCUUUGUGAACAAGGCAAAGAUUGCUGAUUUGUUUACACUCGUACUCGGACAUACGUGAUAUUUGUUUAUAUGCACAUGCUGGUUUGUUUAUUUUAUUCCGUUAAUAUGGCUUUAACUCAUUGGUUCCGAAAAACAUCCAACACGCUGAUUUGCAGAAAGGUCAAGAUCGCAAUCAACACCGUUGGCAUGCCAAGAGCCGUUGAUUCAUGUUUGGUCAAAAUAACACGAUGCUUCAGUUACUAAAACAAGACGCAACAAAACGGGCGGGGAGGCCGAUUGUCGAGUGGGGCCUGGGUAGUUG